CUGUCAUGUAACAUUGUAGUAGUUCACACUUGUGUGGUCGUGUAAUGUUUUGUGUUCCACCAUUUGUGCGAUGCAGAUGGCGGAAUUGACAAUUCAAUUCUGAGAUUUGUGGGAAUUAGAAAAAAAGUGAAUAAACGCGUGCGCUUCCAUCAACCGCCACUGCGCGGCGCUCAAACGCAACUUCGACCGCGUCCUCCCCGCAUCCCCGCGUCGCCAGGACAACCGCCGAGCCCGGCAGGAAUGCUGUGGGGUGUCCUGCCUCAUCAGCAAGACACAGGCGGCAUCUGAGCGAGGAGACAAAGCUCAACUUGGGACGCGGAGCGCCGAGCCCAGAGUCCCGCAAAUUGUCCUUCGGGAGGCGAGAACGUCACUCCCGCCGUAAUCCCAUUAACGGCGCCUGUCAGGAAGUUCCCCGCUUUUCCCGUCCGCCGUUACGCGUCCAAUGAGGGACCGAGGGCGAGUCGAGUCGUGACUCGGGAAGACGCGCGGACCUGGCCGCCGAGGUCCAGCGAUGCUUUCUGCCCGGCCGGGGACUCGACAUGGGACUCUGAAGAGGAGCUCAGGCCGCCUUCUCGCCGAGGAACAUGUCCACCACCGCCGCGCCCACCGACACCCCAGCCUCGGCCGACUUCCAGACGGACCAGCUCACUGCCAUCGUUGCGUCGUUCUCCUGUCUGGUGUUCCUGGUGGUGAUUGUGGCUCUCUUGUCCCUGCUCUAUCGGAAAGAUCCGGUAUGUUGUGAACUCAGGACCUACGAAGGAUCACAUGGGGACCUGGAAGCUCCUCCACAGUACUACAGCAGCAGGCAGACCCUGGUGGGCUCACCAUGUACGGAGCAGAAUCAGGACCUCAGCCACGACACUCCCAACGCUCAGAGGCUCAACCCUCAGUCGGGUCAGCUGUUCCUGAUCGGCCUGCCGGCCAGCUACAGGCUUCCCUCGCUGGACGCGGCUUUCCCCCGGCUGCCGUCCUACGAGAGCGUCCGCAAGAAAGACCGCCAGCGGCAGAUUCACAUGAUGAUCGCCGACCGUUUUGGACUCAAUGGACCAAUCAUUCCAGAGCCACCGCCCUCGUACGAGGAGAGCAUCCGUCAGUCGAUCGAGGUCCCCUGUGAUAUAUUGAGGUCUGCGGGCAGCCCGGCCCCUCCCACGGUCACGGAGGAUGCUGCUGAGACCAUGGAACCUGCACACUUGUCCGGGAGCGUUCACGGCGUCAGCGUUGACCAGUUGUGACCGGGCCAUUAAAACCGGCAAAUCAACGAACACAGAGGCUCACACUGCUCUUUUAAACUUUACUCCUGCGUUAGCGGAACCACGGAGUGGACUACACGGUGACAUGACAUACGUGGAUACCUGCAGUGGCACCUGUAUUCUGUUACCAGCAAGAACUCUUUUCUUUUUGUCCAUGUACUUUCAAGACAAGAAAAAAAAACCCCACAAGGCAGCAGCCAGUGCUGCUGAGAUUUACUGAGAUUGAUGGGGAGCUGUUAUCAGUACAAACAACACAGUAGUGUUAUGGCUGGAUUCCGGAGGUACCGCAGCUCACAUGUAUGUGUAUGUAAAUGCUUUUUUAAAUACUUUUCAACGUUCUAUUUUGGCUACCUGUUCUGAUUAACCAUGAAUGAAUGGAGAGCAGAAAAAGCCAAAGAGGCUCAAGCCCACAGCUGAAGGUGCAAUGGCGGCUUUUUAUGGGCUUGCUUGUGAAAUUACACUGCAGUUUCUCUGUGAUGACAGGCUCAUCUCACCGAAAACAAUAUGAACAAAUGUUCCUUUAAAUAACUGACCGGUACAUACAUUAUCUAUGUGGAUUUGAAAGAUUUCCUUAUUUUGAUAAUACUGUCUAUUUUUACUUUCUUGGGGAACUAUUUUGUAUGCUUCAUGCGGGUUUGUGUGGCUUGCACUGUACCGUCCUUUUUCACUAAACUAAUGGUAUUAGAUGUUUAUGUGAUCAGCAGACAUCAAUAAGUUGAUUAAAGAUGAUUAAACACCACCCUUAUCUUUCUGCUGC
rnacentral:lncRNA from 1 species